rnacentral:rRNA from 1 species
AUAGCUCAAAUUUAAAAUCUGGCCCCCGCGGCCCGAAUUGUAGUCUAAAGAGGUGCUAUCGCGAGCGACGCUGUGCACAAGUGUCCUGGAAUGGACCGUCACAGAGGGUGAGAACCCCGUUUGGGUACAGCGAAGCGAGCAUAUGAGGCACUCUCGAAGAGUCGAGUUGUUUGGGAAUGCAGCUCAAAAUGGGUGGUAAACUUCAUCCAAGGCUAAAUAUUGGCAAGAGACCGAUAGCGAA